ensembl:lncRNA
GGCCCUGGGUUCAAUACCCAGAAGAAAGGAAAGAAAGAAAGAAAGAAAGAAAGAAAGAAAGAAAGAAAGAAAGAAAGAAUUGUACUGAGAAUAUUGUAUGUGAUAGGCAUCUGGGCUCUGAGAGUGAGGUUAUGGCACUCUCUCUAACUUCAAGAUGCUCAUCUUCCUUAGGGGAGGCAGAGAGAGAAUGCAGACAAAGCCAAAUUAGGAGAAAAGACAAAGUGAAUGAAAAAUUAAGCACUGUACCACAAGGUCUAAAUGCAACAGAACCAACUUACCACGGACUGAAACUUCCAGAACGGUCAUUAGAGCGCGCUGAAUCCAACACGACACAGACACUCCACGAGAGGACCACGUGAGAACACAGGGAGAAGACAGCCAUCUACCAGAGACUCAGGAAAAAACAACCCCUGACACCUUCAUCUUACUUUAACAUUCUGACGUUUGAGAAAAUAAAUUUCUAUUAUUUAAGCCAUUCAUUCUGUGGUACUUUGUU